rnacentral:misc_RNA from 2 species
ACCGUAGCCAUCUUGGCUCAAG